rnacentral:rRNA from 1 species
ACGCACGCUGGCGGCGUGCCUAAUACAUGCAAGUUGAGCGCUGAAGGUUGGUACUUGUCCCGACUGGAUGAGCAGCGAACGGGUGAGUAACGCGUGGGGAAUCUGCCUUUGAGCGGGGGACAACAUUUGGAAACGAAUGCUAAUACCGCAUAAAAACUUUAAACACAAGUUUUAAGUUUGAAAGAUGCAAUUGCAUCACUCAAAGAUGAUCCCGCGUUGUAUUAGCUAGUUGGUGAGGUAAAGGCUCACCAAGGCGAUGAUACAUAGCCGACCUGAGAGGGUGAUCGGCCACAUUGGGACUGAGACACGGCCCAAACUCCUACGGGAGGCAGCAGUAGGGAAUCUUCGGCAAUGGACGAAAGUCUGACCGAGCAACGCCGCGUGAGUGAAGAAGGGUUUCGGAUCGUAAAACUCUGUUGGUAGAGAAGAACGUUGGUGAGAGUGGAAAGCUCAUCAAGUGACGGUAACUACCCAGAAAGGGACGGCUAACUACGUG